rnacentral:rRNA from 1 species
UUCUGGCUCAGAACGAACGCUGGCGGCAGGCUUAACACAUGCAAGUUGAACGGGAUUUGAUGGUAGCUUGCUAUCAUUAAUGAGAGUAGCGCACUGGUGAGUAACACGUGGGAACAUGCCUUUUGGUGGGGGACAACAGAUGGAAACGCCUGCUAAUACCGCAUAAGCCCUGAGGGGGAAAGAUUUAUUGCCGAAAGAUUGGCCCGCGGAAGAUUAGGUAGUAGGUGGGGUAAUGGCCUACCUAGCCGACGAUCUAUAGCUGGUCUGAGAGGACGAUCAGCCACAUUGGAACUGAGACACGGUCCAGACUCCUACGGGAGGCAGCAGUGAGGAAUAUUGGGCAAUGGAGGGAACUCUGACCCAGCCAUGCCGCGUGAGUGAAGAAGGUUUUCGGAUUGUAAAGCUCUUUCAGAUGAGAAGAUAAUGACGGUAUCAUCAGAAGAAGCACCGGCUAACUUCGUGCCAGCCGCAGC